AACCUCUCCGGUGGCCUAGUGGUUAGAGUGUCUGCAUCGGAUGCGGGAGGCUGUGGGUUCUAUCCCCGGCCGAGUUA